rnacentral:rRNA from 1 species
AACGAACGCUGGCGGCAGGCCUAACACAUGCAAGUCGAACGGACUCUUCGGAGUUAGUGGCGCACGGGUGAGGAACGCGUGGGAAUAUACCCUUAGGUAAGGAAUAAUAUCUGGAAACGGGUACUAAUACCUUAUAAUGACUUCGGUCCAAAGAUUUAUCGCCUAAGGAUUAGCCCGCGUUAGAUUAGAUAGUUGGUGAGGUAACGGCUCACCAAGUCUACGAUCUAUAGGGGGUCUGAGAGGAUGAUCCCCCACACUGGGACUGAGACACGGCCCAGACUCCUACGGGAGCAGCAGUGAGGAAUAUUGGACAAUGGAGGAAACUCUGAUCCAGCCAUGCCGCGUGAGUGAAGAAGGCCUUAGGGUUGUAAAGCUCUUUCAGAUGCGAAGAUAAUGACGGUAACAUCAGAAGAA